rnacentral:tRNA from 1 species
GCCAGUGUGGCAUAGUGGUUUGAGCACUGGGCUAUGACUCUGGAGACCAGGGUUUGAAUCCCUGAUCAGCCA